rfam:Tropilaelaps mercedesae isolate Wuxi-XJTLT scaffold0000023429, whole genome shotgun sequence.
AUUCACAUGCGGGAACGUCCCAAUGAAGUUUAACUGAGGGGCGUUCAUUGCUAGUCGAAAACUACUACGAAUAACCCGCAUGAAAUACCGCCGGCAACGGCGUUUUUUGGUGGCCGAGAGGCC